AUCAUCUCAGUAAAUGGACGUGAGCAAGAUAUCCGAAGCAGAUAAGAAGCCAUUUAAUACGAGUCAGAGCGUUGAUCUGUGCGCUUUCCGAUCACUUGUCGCCGGGGUAUUAGGCAUUCCCAUGGCAUUUUUUUUUACCUUCCUUAUGAUUUCGCCAGAUGUGCACCCUGGGAUGCCUGGAGCUCCGCCAGAAAGUGCCAGCCUCUGGGUAAAAAACAAGUUCGUUCUAAAAAGAACCUGUAAACAGGGAUGGCACAGCGGCAAGAGUCUUUUCUGGCUGGGACUCCUGUGGAGCGGAUCCGAAUGUGUAAUUGAAAAGUACCGAGGACGGACAGACAUAUGGAAUGGCAUCAGCGCAGCCGCUCUCUCAGGCUCUGUAUUAUCUUGGAGGGGUGGUAUCGUUCCCAUGACAGUUUCCACUAGCGGGAUGGUUGUUUUCGCGUUUUUGAUGGAAUCAUUCAUGGGGAAAGGCUCACACCGUCCCUCUGAAAUCAUGACCAACUUCUACAGCUAAACCACCAACUUCUGUUGGGUUGAUCUCGCUUCCGAAGUCAGGGAGGAAAAAAUCGAAAGUAUUAUGGCCGUUAUAAAACGAAGAGAGGAAAACGGUCAAAUUCGUUAAA